rnacentral:rRNA from 1 species
AGAACGACUCUCGGCAACGGAUAUCUCGGCUCUCGCAUCGAUGAAGAACGUAGCGAAAUCUAGAUACUUGGUGAAUUGCAGAAUCCGUGAACCAUCGAGUCUUUCGAACGCAAGUUGCGCCAAACGCAUUAGGCCAGGGCACGCGUCUCCGUGGGUGUCACGC